AUAUAGCUCAGUGGUUCCAGCUUCUGCCUCCUAAGCACAAGAACCUGAGUUUGAUUCCCGGUAU
rnacentral:tRNA from 1 species